GAUAGUUGAAUUGGUAAGCAUAAAAUCAUCCCCAACAAUUAUAGUCCGCUGUUAUCAUCGCGUUUUUGCGUUAGUUUACGGAAAAGGUAUAGACGUUUGAUACUGAGGUUUUGUGGACGGGCCUCUAGUUGGGUUUGUUCGUGGCAACUAGGAUGAGAUUUCAGCUCCUUAGAGUUGUGGAAAUUACGUAAAUUUCUAAAUUUGGCAUCUCGGAAUCGGUGUUUCUUCUUUUAUUUCCGUUAUAUACAUAUGUUUUUCUCCUUUGCUGUUUUGUCAUUGUCUGUUUUUCUGUACAUUUUGUUAUUUUUUUGCUACUAGUACUCUUUGUAACUUCAAUCGAAAUUUCGAAAAUUGUAUAAAUAUUUCAUAUUUUACCAAAUA
rnacentral:sRNA from 1 species